rnacentral:tRNA from 1 species
GGCAUCAUAGCUCAGUUAGGUAGAGCGUCCGGCUGUUAACCGGGUGGUCGCAGGUUCAAGUCCUGCUGGUGCCG